rnacentral:rRNA from 1 species
GCGAGUGAGCGGCAAAAGCUCAAAUUUGAAAUCUGGUACUUUCAGUGCCCGAGUUGUAAUUUGGAGAAGGCAACUUUGGGGCUGGUCCUUGUCUAUGUUCCUUGGAACAGGACGUCAUAGAGGGUGAGAAUCCCGUAUGGCGAGGAACCCAGUCCUUUGUAAAGUGCUUUCGAAGAGUCGAGUUGUUUGGGAAUGCAGCUCUAAGUGGGUGGUAAAUUCCAUCUAAAGCUAAAUAUUGGCGAGAGACCGAUAGCGAACAAGUACAGUGAUGGAAAGAUGAAAAGAACUUUGAAAAGAGAGUGAAAAAGUACGUGAAAUUGUUGAAAGGGAAGGGCAUUUGAUCAGACAUGGUGUUUUGCGCCCCUUACCUCUCGUGGGUGAGGGAAUCUCGCAGCUCACUGGGCCAACAUCAGUUUUGGUGGCAGGAUAAAUCUAUAGGAAUGUAGCUUGCUUCGGGAAGUGUUAUAGCCUGUGGGAAUACUGCCAACUGGGACUGAGGACUGCGACUUUGUCAAGGAUGUUGGCAUAAUGGUUAUAUGCCGCCC